CUGAGACGUCCCUGGACAAUGCCCGGGACGGUGGCGGACGCCUCCUGCCGAGAGUUCCAGCUCUUUCUUCUUCGGGACACCGUGUCCCUGAUGAGCUGGAAGCUGAGCCAGUUCUCGAUCAUAAUGUUUUUGUAAAUGUGGCCAGGAGCUUUAAAUAGUCUCCUUCUAUUUUGUCCUCGCAUCUUUCCUCUUGAAUGCUUAGAGACACCGUCAUGAGUUACGAGUGGGUCUCCCGCAGCCCAAUGCCAGGGGCAGAGCCGGAAGCACGCUCAGGUGCAUGUCAGCCGUCAGGAUGGCCCUGCGGUGGCUGAGCGGAGCCGGCUCCAGUUUCCGAGGGAAGGCGUGUCCAUCAGUGACGUUUCACUCACCACAGAUGUCCCACUGUCGUUGUUCCUCCUCAAGCAGGACCUCAAGGGCACCCAGUAGCUCCCAUACGGGGACUGCGUUAUACUUAAUCCGCACGUUGCCACGGAUCGGGCAUAAUAUGCUGCUUUAUUUGCUUUGCUGACUCUUUUUGGCCUUUCUCUCUGAUUAAACUGGCGAUACUUCAGCAGUUUUGUAGAACGGAUACUUUCGGGGAGAAAAUUGCAAGACAAGGAAAGAGCUGAGCCCGAGGCUAGGAGCAGGUGGAUUAGGACCAGACUCCAAAGGGUCCAUGAUGUAGAGAGCACCGUCCCUGCUGACUUCUCACUCAUGUGUCCCACUCCCCUCUCUGUUAUUCCACUUGCCCGUCACGGCUUCAGUGUGUGGCUCCCUCUGAGCUCCCUCUGCUUCCUUUCUGCCUCCCUUCUCCACCCUUUUCCAGCUUCUCUUAAAAAUGUCUUUCCUGUGCCCUUUCUCCACUGUCCCUAUUUCUGCCUUUUCUUCCUCCUUGGACGCCACCUGUGUGCCUCGAGGGCCUGAGGCGCUGAGAGGACCCAGAGGGGCCCUGCCUCCUCCAGUCAGGACGGGAGGCACAGCCAUGUGGUGGGUGAGAGCAGCGCCCUGCCUUGUUAAUCUCUUGCAUUUGGGUUUCUACAGCCAAAGGUGUUGACCCAGGUGCCAGGAGGUGUUUGCUUUGCCGGUGCUGUGGCCCCAUGAGCAGCUGGUCUGUUAGGGAGGUGACCUGUCAUUGUGUGAAGGACAGGCUGGGGCAGGACUGCCUCGGGGAGUCUGAGGAGGCUCCUGGGGGGGUGAGGGGCAGGGAGCCGGUCACCAGAGGCGCAGACAGAGGCGGGAGCAGCAGGACACGCUAACCAGUUACCGCAGCGCGCCAGCCCCGCCCCUGUCUCCCUCUCCCAGAAUGUUUGGCUUGGCUGAGUAAAAAGUGGCGUUAAUUACAGCCACACAUGCCAAGAGGCAACCACUCAGGCUGAAUUGUGUAACUCGGUAGUGAGAAAGCAUGUUAUUAAACACGCUUCUGUGA